GCCUCUGUGGCUCAGUGGUAGAGCAUCUGUCUUGUAAACAGAAGGUCCACCGGUUCAAUCGCGGCGGAGGCA
rnacentral:tRNA from 1 species